rnacentral:rRNA from 1 species
AGAACGAACGCUGGCGGCAUGCCUAAUACAUGCAAGUCGAACGAACUCUUCGGAGUUAGUGGCGCACGGGUGCGUAACGCGUGGGAAUCUGCCCCUUGGUUCGGAAUAACAGUUGGAAACGACUGCUAAUACCGGAUGAUGACGAAAGUCCAAAGAUUUAUCGCCAAGGGAUGAGCCCGCGUAGGAUUAGCUAGUUGGUGAGGUAAAGGCUCACCAAGGCAACGAUCCUUAGCUGGUCUGAGAGGAUGAUCAGCCACACUGGGACUGAGACACGGCCCAGACUCCUACGGGAGGCAGCAGUAGGGAAUAUUGGACAAGUGGGCGACGAAGCCUGAUCCAGCAAUGCCGCGUGAGUGAUGAAGGUCCGUUAGGGUUAGUAAAGCUUACGUUUUACCCGAG